UGGGGAAUUUUGGACAAUGGGCGAAAGCCUGAUCCAGCCAUGCCGCGUGCAGGAUGAAGGCCUUCGGGUUGUAAACUGCUUUUGUACGGAACGAAAAGCCUCUUUCUAAUAAAGAGGGGUCAUGACGGUACCGUAAGAAUAAGCACCGGCUAACUACGUGCCAGCAGCCGCGGUAAUACGUAGGGUGCAAGCGUUAAUCGGAAUUACUGGGCGUAAAGCGUGCGCAGGCGGUUUUGUAAGACAGAGGUGAAAUCCCCGGGCUCAACCUGGGAACUGCCUUUGUGACUGCAAGGCUGGAGUGCGGCAGAGGGGGAUGGAAUUCCGCGUGUAGCAGUGAAAUGCGUAGAUAUGCGGAGGAACACCGAUGGCGAAGGCAAUCCCCUGGGCUGCACUGACGCUCAUGCACGAAAGCGUGGGGAGCAAACAGGAUUAGAUACCCUGGUAGUCCACGCCCUAAACGAUGUCAACUGGUUGUUGGGUCUUCACUGACUCAGUAACGAAGCUAACGCGUGAAGUUGACCGCCUGGGGAGUACGCCGCAA
rnacentral:rRNA from 1 species